rnacentral:rRNA from 1 species
UACGGAGGGUGCGAGCGUUGUCCGGAAUCACUGGGCGUAAAGGGCGCGUAGGUGGCGCCGCAAGCCAACGGUGAAAGCUCGACGCUUAACGUCGAGUCGGCCGUCGAGACUGCGGGGCUCGAGCACUGUAGAGGCUCAUGGAAUUCCGGGUGUAGCGGUGGAAUGCGUAGAGAUCCGGAAGAACACCGGUGGCGAAGGCGGUGAGCUGGGCAGUUGCUGACACUGAGGCGCGACAGCGUGGGGGAGCAAACAGG